GAAAGAAAAAAGAGAGGUGAGCAGUUAUAAUGUUCAACAUUUAUAUUUCUACAAGAAUAAGAAAAAUUUUUAGAUGAGAGGAACCUUCAAGGAGAUUGUUAGAUAGGUCGAGGACUUUGAGGUAGGACAUGUUCCCAAUUGACAGCGAAGAAUGGAGAUAGUUUUUGCCAAGAAAUAGAUACUCCAGCGCAGUUAGCUUGAAUAACCAACUUGGUAAGGUGGAACUAAUUUGAUUAUUGGAAAGAUCGAGGAUAGACAGAUAUGUGAAAUUCAAUUGUGGCAAGGUGUAAGGAAUGCUUGCAAUCUGACAUUGAGAUAAGUGAAUCUCCAUUAUGUAAGGCAACAUGUUCAGUGCUUCUGCCCAAUUUGAUGCAUUGCUAAUGUUAGUUCCUGUCAUGUCAAGGUGCUGCAACAAUGUUAAACGGGAAAGCCACGAUGCAUCGUCAACAUCAAGAUUGUUGUAUGAGAGAUCCAAAUAGAGUAAGCUGGAGAGGUUCCCUAGUUGCUGUGGCACUGUUGUCAAGAAACCUGCACCUGAGAGAUUCAGGUACCCCAAGUUCUUAUAUGAUCCAAAGAAGUCUGGUAUACUAGAUCGAAAGUCAUUCAUGCUCAAAUCAAGGUAGUUCAAGUAUUCGAGAGUCAUCAGUGUUGAACUUAUCUCCUCCACUAGGAUCAAGGACCAGGAAGCAUCAGAAGGUGAAUCUGUGUGUGGCUGGGGAUUCCGGAGGUCUAGUUUGAUGACUCUCCCUAGCUGGUCGUCGCAGCCCACACCGUGCCAUGUGC
rnacentral:lncRNA from 1 species